GGAUUAGAUACCCUGGUAGUCCACGCCGUAAACGAUGUCAACUAGCCGUUGGAAUCCUUGAGAUUUUAGUGGCGCAGCUAACGCAUUAAGUUGACCGCCUGGGGAGUACGGCCGCAAGGUUAAAACUCAAAUGAAUUGACGGGGGCCCGCACAAGCGGUGGAGCAUGUGGUUUAAUUCGAAGCAACGCGAAGAACCUUACCAGGCCUUGACAUGCAGAGAACUUUCCAGAGAUGGAUUGGUGCCUUCGGGAACUCUGACACAGGUGCUGCAUGGCUGUCGUCAGCUCGUGCCG
rnacentral:rRNA from 1 species